rnacentral:tRNA from 1 species
GAGGAUAUAGCUCAACUGGUAGAGCGCAUGCUUAGCAUGCACAAGGUCCUGGGUUCAAACCCCAAUACCACCU